GCGAACGCUGGCGGCAGGCCUAAUACAUGCAAGUCGAGCGGCCCUUCGGGGCAGCGGCGGACGGGGGAGUAACGCGUGGGAACGUGCCCUUUGGUACGGAACAACUGAGGGAAACUUCAGCUAAUACCGUAUGUGCCCUUCGGGGGAAAGAUUUAUCGCCAUUGGAGCGGCCCGCGUUAGAUUAGCUAGUUGGUAGGGUAAUGGCCUACCAAGGCGACGAUCUAUAGCUGGUCUGAGAGGAUGAUCAGCCACACUGGGACUGAGACACGGCCCAGACUCCUACGGGAGGCAGCAGUAGGGAAUCUUGCGCAAUGGGCGAAAGCCUGACGCAGCCAUGCCGCGUGAAUGAUGAAGGUCUUAGGAUUGUAAAAUUCUUUCACCGGGGACGAUAAUGACGGUACCCGGAGAAGAAGCCCCGGCUAACUUCGUGCCAGCCGCCGCAGUAAGAC
rnacentral:rRNA from 1 species